UGGCUCAAUGGUAGAGCGUUCGACUCAAAUACCAAAGGUCGUGGGUUCGAAUCCCAC
rnacentral:tRNA from 1 species